rnacentral:rRNA from 1 species
UACGAAGGGAGCUAGCGUUGUUCGGAAUCACUGGGCGUAAAGCGCACGUAGGCGGAUGUGUCAGUCAGGGGUGAAAUCCCGGAGCUCAACUUCGGAACUGCCUUUGAUACAGCACGUCUUGAGUCCGAUAGAGGUGGGUGGAAUUCCUAGUGUAGAGGUGAAAUUCGUAGAUAUUAGGAAGAACACCGGUGGCGAAGGCGGCCCACUGGAUUGGUACUGACGCUGAGGUGCGAAAGCGUGGGGAGCAAACAGG